UUGGAGGGCAAGUCUGGUGCCAGCAGCCGCGGUAAUUCCAGCUCCAAUAGCGUAUAUUAAAGUUGUUGCAGUUAAAAAGCUCGUAGUUGAAUUUCGGGAUUGACGUGACGGUCAUGCCUUAAGGGGUAUGAACUGUUACUGUUGAUUUCUCACCUUCUGGAGAAACUUGAUGUCCUUUAUUGGGUGUCUUGCGGAUCCAGGACCUUUACCUUGAAAAAAUUAGAGUGUUUAAAGCAGGCAUUUUUGCUCGAAUACAUUAGCAUGGAAUAAUAGAAUAGGACGGCAUGGUUCUAUUUUGUUGGUUUCUAGGAUCACCGUAAUGAUUAAUAGGGAUAGUUGGGGGCAUUAGUAUUCAAUUGUCAGAGGUGAAAUUCUUGGAUUUAUUGAAGACUAACUACUGCGAAAGCAUUUGCCAAGGAUGUUUUCAUUAAUCAAGAACGAAAGUUAGGGGAUCGAAGACGAUCAGAUACCGUCGUAGUCUUAACCAUAAACUA
rnacentral:rRNA from 1 species